rnacentral:lncRNA from 1 species
UUUGAUAAAAUAAUUGGAGUUUUUGGGUUGAGAUUUGUUUGGUUGGGUUUUGGUAUAAAAUUUGGGUCAUUUUAUUGGGUUUUAGAAAUGGGUUUUGGUUUAUUUCUUGUGGGUUUGGGUUGGGCUAAGAAGUCAAAACCCAUGUAUUUAUUUGAGUUGAAUUGAGUGAUAAAAAAGACGGGCUGCCCAUUUCUUUCUUGGAUUUUCAGUUGGGCUGAGAGGGUUUUCGGCCCAAACAAAUAAAUAAAAUGGCCCAGUGGCCCAUUUGGCUGAGAAAUCUGGUUACGAAAUUGCAAAUCAGUCCCUGUACCCUUGAGCAUUUUCUCUAUGGCCCUAAAUAUUUUGAUUUCUUUCAAUCAGAUCCUUCAUAUAAUUGUAAAUAGGUCCCUGAACUUUAUUUUUAUUUAAUUGUGAUCCCAUAUCUUUGUGAUAAUUAUAAUUUGCCCCCAAAACUUUGUUUAUUUUUGCAAUUAGAUCCUUAACAGAUUGGAUUGCUUAAAUAGAAGUUGCUUUUCUUCUAUAAUCAUUGAUUACACUUCAUUUAAGUGUUUCAAUUGAUUGAUUUCAUUUUUAUUUCCAUUUGCUAUGAUUUAUUUGUUAUUUAAAUUGGUGCCUUGAUGAUUUUGUUAAUUUUGGAGGUAAAUAGGGCAAAUCCAAUUUCCCAUUAAUUACUACUUCAAGGGAGGUAUCUUCUUGUAUCAUUUUAAAUCCUCUUAUGUGCUCCAAUGUGUUUUAUGUGCAAUCACAUGUUUCGAGUGUUAUUCUUUUAUUUAUUAUUAUUCUUUUCUUUUUAUUAUUGUGAUUCAUUUUUAAUUUUAUUUAUUUUAUUUUAUUUUAUUCUUGAUUAUUUGAGAAGGCAAUUAAAUGUCACAAUUGUAAUAGUUAGGUAUUUAUUUUAAUUAUUUAUUUUAUUUCCCUUUUAGAUUGUAGUAGGCUUCCCCCCUAAUGUAAUAGUUAGGGCUUGUUUGCUUUAUUUACUUGGUGUGAUUUGCGUGCUUCUUGCUACGUGUUACUGUUUUUCUUAGGAUAUUUGCAUCUAGAUAUUAUGCUUACAUGUUAUGUGUUACGUGCUCUUAUGUGUUUAUUUAUUUUAAUUUAUACUUUAUUUGUUUACUAUGUAUUGUUAAUGCAUAACGUCACCACACUAGUCCAACGCUAGUUGUGGCUUCUCCUUCUAUUUACUUGCUAGUCCAACGCUAGUAAGGAUUUCUAGAAAUGGGCUAGUCCAACGCUAGACCCGUAUAUGGUUCAUGCAUUAGAUUCAUUGUUGUAUGAUAUUUAUUACAUUUUCAUGCAUAUUUUAUUUUUUAGGAUCUUUUCUCAUUUGCAUGAUAUUUUCAAUUAUAUUAUCCUCUACCCCUUACCCUCUACAUAUGUUAAUCAUAUCAUUUAGAAUUGCAUUUCAUUUAAGAAAUUGUGGAAUAAGUUAGUUCAUUCGCUUGUUCAUAUUAGAAUAAUUAUUCUUUGAACAGGAAAAUGGGUUAUUAUGACUUUUUUAGUUUAAAUAUCCCAUUAAUCCCUGUAUGAUAAAAUUAUGUCACGAGUUUUUGUCUCCCGUACCCAUUAUGAUGCAUCCCUAUUCUUUGAUCACUUAUAUCUAUGUAUAGAAUUUAAUUUGCUUCUUCUGUUUAUUUGAUUUCAUCAUUUGCAUAUUCGUGACUCCUUCAAGGUAUUGUUUUGGCCUUCGCAAUUAAUGCGAUUGAUACCAAGUAAACCCUUGAAUGAACAUUUUGUCCCUCUCGAUAUUUCUAUUUGCAUCCAUGUAGAAAACAUCCAAAUGUGAUAAAUUUAAAGGUUAGAUUAAGAAAAUUUUGACUAAACACGCAACUAGCUUAGACUAGGUUGAAAGGGUGCCUUAGGUUUGAGUUGAUUGAACCUUUGCCUUCCCUUUCUUCAACCGUGACUCCCGAACUCAUUUUCUCUUGUUUUCAAAGACCUGGAGUUGUCUAAAAGGGUUUUAUAUAUUUUAUUUUUGUUAAAAAUAUUUUUGGGUGACUUGGUACACCAAAACUCAAUAUCAAGUGGCGACUCCUAAUUUUUCUUAAAAAUCCUUUUCAGACUAAAUUUUGGACCCAAAUCGUCGCAUUUUUUAAGUCCCAUUCUUGGUCCUUUUUCAUUUAUUUUUUUAAUAAAAUCACAUCUUUUUAUAAACUCAUUUUAUUUUCCCAUCGGAAAAAUGAGGCGCGACAGCUUGGCGACUCCACUGGGGACCGCUAGAGAGUCCAAGCACUUGGUUUAGUUGUUCUUUUCUCUUUUUAACCCUUUUAUUUAUCAUAUUUGGAUGUUUUAGGUUGCAUUUUUCUUUUGUUUUGCAUUUCACACUCGUAAUCGUUCCUCGUUUUACGUGUAUGGGAUGAAUGGCUUAUUUAUUUAUUUAUUUAUUCGUAUCACGCUUUGCAUUUGGGUGGGGGAAAAUAUCACCGUAGAGCCUCCAUGCUUGUUUUAAUAAUCCCUCCCUUCAAAAGGAAGCACUUCAUACGUGCAUGCACUACUUUUCACCAUAUUUUUAUUUUUCUCGUGGGCGCCAUCCCACAUCUCCUUGUAGGAUUAGGAUCGAUUUCCUUAGGUAGGCGGAUGGUGUGCUCUGCGCCCAUAGCGAUGCUUAAGGGAUCACUCAAGCCACCGACCGAAGGUUUUAGGAUUGAUGACCCUUAAUUUUUUGGUCUGAAGGCUCGGGGACCUUAAAAUCUAUCGAGUCUAGAUGCAUUAGUGAGCCCAUACCCCAUGCAUCCAUAUUAGAAAUUACCUAAGAUAAGAGUCAACAUAUCCAGUUAGGGACACUAAGCACGAGGGGAGGGAUUUUACCCCUCUUUCUUUGCUUUAUUUACUUUUUAUCCUUGUAUCAUUUAUUGUCACAAUGUGUUAUAUGUUACUUGUUGAACUAACCUCUCCUUGUUUUCCCUUUUUCUGCAUACACAAACUUUAGAAAUAAGAGUUCUAACAUGGUACUCGUUUAAGAUAAGACCGCCUCUUAUAUCAAGCAUGUUUAAAUUUUAGUCAAUUGCAUAUGCAUAUGUAUUGCACAUCAUUUUAGGCUUACCCCGGCAUUUAAAGAGGGCACUUUUAGGUCAUAUUUCAAUUAUUUAAUCGCUUUAAUAAAUUGGCAUCAUGCAUCAACUAUAGAGGGAAUGCCGUAUAGGGAAUCCCGUGUUAGGAAUAAACCACCUUAUGUCUCGGAUAUAUAAUCCAAUGAGACUUGCACGUUUAUUUUUUUUGUACUGUCCAAAGGGGUAGUGCACGAGGUAAGGUAAGAUCCGAUCUUUUCAAAGACGGCAGAGCAAUUUUUUGCACAUUAGAAUAUGAGCAUCUAACAAUCAUCUUUUGGCCAUUUUCAACAUAUGUGGUAAAAAUCCCUUGCUUAAAGGAUAUUGACUUGAAGAAAUUCACAAAUGAUUCCUCAUUGUUGAGACGAUAAAUAUAUUGAGGCCAAAUCUUGAUUUUAGGAGGCUCAUAGACUAAUGCAUCGCAAUGAAUUUUGAAAAUUACCAAUGAGUGGACAAUUCAAUCCAUUUUUGAAUAAAACAUCAAUUUCAAUCAAUUCACUUGAUCAAUUUAUCCUUUUUGGGUGAUCUGAUCGAUUUUUGAAUAAAUCAUUAACUUCAUUUCAUUCAUUUGGCCAAUUCACCCAUUUUUAGGGCCAAUCGAACUGAUUUUGAAUAAAUCAAGUUUCACUCAAUCCAUUUGACCAAUCUACCCUUUUUUAGGGUGAUCCGAUCAAUUUUGAAUAAAUCAAAUUUCAUUCAAUUCAUUUGACCAAUCUACCUAUUUUUAGUGCAAUUCGGUCGAUUUUAAAUAAAUCAUCAAUUCCAUCCUAUCCAUUUGACCCGUUUUUUUUUCCUUUAGGGUCUAAGCCUAAGAUUCAUUGAAUAAAUUAAUCGAGACAAUGCAAUCUCUUUCACACAUCAUUUUAUGUGUUGAUCGAAACAAGCAAUCCAUUCGGACUUUGUCCUCAUUUUUCAAACAAAUGUCUCUUCUCACUCCAAUUGGCCAAGUUUUUCAAAUCAUUUUUUUCAUUCAAUCAAUUGAUCGGAUUCAUCAGGUAUUGUAUGGUGCCUACACUAGAGGAUUGCAUUUUCAUGUUAGGCCUACCCUUGGCAUAAAAGGGCUCCCCCAUAGGACAUGCAUACCGAUUUUGUAGUCUUACCUACUGACUCGGGGUAUUUCUUUUGUUUCCCCCCUCCCCUGCAUUCAUAAAAAUGCUUUAAUAAGGUGAAAAUAUUUUUCUAUGUCUGCUAAAAUUUGAGAACUACAAGUAUUAUUUGAUUCUUGGGCAGAUCCUACAAUGAAAACAUGAAAGAUCCAUCUGAAAGCUUUGGGCUAAAGCCUCUGAGAGACUUUAUAAUUAUUUUUCAAAGGGAACUUUCGUUUAUUUGAUUUGAUUAUACAUUUUGUUCCAAAAGAAAGGGAGACAAAAGCGUAUAUGUGGGGUUUUGUAGAAGUUUUCUCUUCUCAUUUGUAUUAUAAUUCAACAAGAAAUUUUUGUUUUAAACUUUUUCAGCAAUAAAGUUUUAGACAAUUAUUGUUUUGUAUAUAAUCAUGUACAUUUCAUUCUUUCUGUUGCUCAUUGGAGAUUUCAUGAUGAAUUUUAAGAAAUAAGACCAAGUUGAUUUUUCCUCAACCUCUUGCCUGGAAAUUCACAAGAAAUAGUGAUCCAAACUGUACAAUAAGAGUGCCCGGAAUUAAAAGAAGCCACUCAAACUGAGAGGCCAUCCAAAAGGCCCAAUGAGAUACCUUUUCUCCUUCACUAUACAAUCCCUAUUUUGCCUACCACUAUUUGGCCCCUCAAAAAAAAAAAAAAAAAAAAAAAUCAAUCGCAUUGAUUGAUAAAUUGCAAAUUGGGGCAGCCUUGGUUUGAAAAUGUCCAUUGUGUCUAAUCAAAUUCAAUCCACAUCUGAGUGAAAGCAAAAAUGUACAUAUUUCUUAUUUGUUUUGAAAAUUUGGAAUGAUACUUUAGGCUUUUGUUUCUCUAUACAGAUCCUAUCAUUUGUUUUCCCAUUUGAGAUAAAAAAAAAAAAGUACUUCGUUUCAAAUAAGAGCCUCAAUGAUCAUGACCUUACAUGAAAAGAAUUUCCAAAUGUCAAAAGAAAAUGGAUUCUUAAUGAGCUAUUAUUUUCUUGGGUUGUCAUGAAGCGUAAGAAUGAUGUUUUGGCCAUCGUUUCUGUAAUCUAAACACUUUUAUCCCUUGCAUCCUCAUUUGAGCCUAAAUUAGUGGUUCGUUUCAAAAGCACCUAUGAUCGCACCCGACAUUGGGGAAGGAGAUUUCAAAAAAAAAAAAAGAAGGGAGAAAAUGCUACAAGUUGAGGAAAUUUGAUUCUACCAUCAAUAUUUGGGCUUUAAUUUUGACAAAGAAAAAAAAAAAAAGAAAAGGGAAGAGUUUUGUCCGCACAAAUCGCCUAUGUUCCACAGAUAUGGAUGAACAAGGGUCUCACUCAGUCAGUUAAUUCAGAUACAUGCAAGAAAUUUCGCAUUAAUGAAAGUUUCUUUUCAGGGUUAUUGUAAGGAACGGAAUAAAAGUCAGACCCUCUUCUUUUUCAAUCAGACAUUCUAUCCCUAGUUAUCCCUUUUGAGCCUUCAUCAUAAAUUAUUUCGUUUGGCAACCUCUGAGAAUCGCAAACCCCACACUGGGGCAAGUUUGAGUUGAAAAGUUUCAAGAAAUGAAAAGUGAUAAUGCAACAAAAUCAAAAGGAAAAGAGAAAAGAGAACCUCAGUUCAAAAAAUAAAUUGGGGCAAAUUUUGUGAAAAUUCAAAAAAAUGGCAGAAGGCUGAAAAAUCGAAAGAAAAUGAAAGAGAAAAAGCCUCAAUUGAGCACAAGCUCUGGCAAAUUUUGAUUUAACCCUAAAAUAGAGUUGGCACAAUAAUGCGAUCUCAGAUUCUUCAAACCACUUUUGAAAUCCGUUUUCAAGCUUUAACUUUUCUAAGCACCCACCUGACCCCAUUACAAAGCCGAAAGUCCUGACUUCUGUUCUUUGCAAUGGCCUUGUUGAGAAAAUUUCUGAUGCCGAAAAUUUUAGCUGCCUGGGUAUGGGGUUGACGCCACGCGCCCUGUGAAAACCCACCAAGUUGAGGGAAAGGAAAAGAGAGCGAAUGCAAAAGAAAAAUGUAAAAAGAUUUGAUGCUGAAAGUCCCUGGUGAAUGUUGAGAAAAUGCAAACAAAUUCUGAGAUCUUUGAGUUCAGAAUAGGGCAAUUUUGGAAAAAUGCGAUCUUCGGUACAAUGUCCUUGAAAGUCUUAUUCUUUAACUAUCAUUUUCAAGCCACAUUACAAGCUCAUAAAGUCCAUCGCUGACUUAUCCUUCAUGACAACCCAAAGUGAGAUUAUGCUCAUAAGAAAUCCAUCAAUCAUUUUGUAAUCAUAAGGGUAUAACCAGUUUUCACAUGUUUAACUAUCGUUUCUACCCAUACAUUACAAGCCUACAUGUUGACUAAAUUUUCUCAAGAAAUAAGAGUGAUAAACCAUUUGCUUUCACUAAGAUGUGAUAUUGAAUGUGUUGGAUACAAUUUGGAAAAAAAAAAAAAAGAAAAAGAUCCUGAUAUACCAUCUCCGUGAGCCACCUCAAAAUCCUGAAUAAUAUCCAUUUGAUUGGUUCUAAAAGAUGAGCUAACAAGAAGGGGACAUUUUUCCCUCAACACCGAUCCCAAAAUGAGGAAGAGAUCUUUUGCAAUUUGGUCCUAUUUUGAGAGAUUUAUCAUGGAAUCUUCUAUAUGAGUUUGGAUAUGACAUUUAAAUUCUUCAUUUGACAAAUAUGAUUUUUAUUCACAUUGUAUGUGAUUAUUUUGCAACUAAAAUAAGCCCAAAUUGGGGCAAAAUUUUUUGUAAUAUAUCUGUGAGAUUUCACCAAAUAAAUUCAAAUUGAGGCAAAAUUUUAUAAUACAUUUGUAGGAUAUGUCCAAGGUCAAGUAUAUAUUUUUCAAUUUUUUGAUAAGUCAACACUUUGCAUGGAUCUUAAUUGUUAUAUCAUAACUCAAAAAAAAAAAAGGAGAAAAAGGAAAAGAAAAAGAAUUUUGAAGAUUCAAUUGUUUCGAAAAAUCCCUCACUUGUGCAGGUGUUUAUGGUUAACAUCGAGGAAAAGAUACAAGCGAAAAUGUUGCAAAUUUGGAGAGCUAUCAUGAAUAAAAGAGGGCAAUAAUGCUACAUUGCAAAGUGGAGGAUCGGUUAUUUGUUCAAAAAAAAAAAAAAAGUGCAUGAUUCGGCAGCAAAAAACAAAAAAAAACAAAAAAAGAGAGGAAAAGGGAAUGAAAAAGAAAAGAAAGGGGGAAUGAAAAAAAAAGAAGAGAGAAUAAUAAAAAAGGAGGAAAAAAUGGAAAAACAAAAAAAAGAAGAGAAUAAUAAAAAAGGAGGAAAAAAUGGAAAAACAAAAAAAAGAGAGAAUAAAAAAAGGGGGAUUAAAAAAAAAGAGUUUUUCCUUCGAUUUUGCAAAUUUUUGCAAUUGAACUCUGGGAGCAUUUCACUUGGAGAUUACAUUUCUAAGUUGGGACAACACCUUGCCCUUUUAUGCUGAAAUGGAAGUGGUAAUACAUGCCAAGACCGAGAUCCCGUCCUUGCACAUUUUGACAAAGGUUCAGGCAGAAGAAAUCAAAUGGAUCAAGGAGCACAAUGAGUUGCUAUCUCUGAUUGAUGAAAAGAUGUUGAAUGUUUGCCAUGAACAAUGCUAUCAUCAAAUGAUGGUGGCAAUUUCUUUGUUUUUUCUCUCUUGCAGAAAAAUUGCAUGCACAAAUGAAAGCAAUCACACCUCGCACUAGAACCGGUGCCGGAAAGAGUUCUCCAGUGAACAAAGGCAAAUCGAAAAUGUUGCAAGCAAAUUUGAUUAAAAGGUGCAACAACAUGGCGAUACAGAAUCAACUAUGGACUCAAGUUGCAAAAAUUCAUCAUAUUGGGGCAAAUUAAUUUUUUGGAAAGAUUCUCAAGAGUCAAAAAGAAAAGCGAAAAGAAAAGAAAAAUCACCAGACAAAAAUAAAAAAAAAUCAAUCAGAUCAAGUUCAUCACGGCAAGCUCGGGUUUUGAUCCCACUGUCGAUUGUCAAAAGCAUUUCAUUUUCAUUGCUACUGGAGCUGGGUUUGUCCCACCAGUAAGCAUUUCGUUUACAUCGCUACUGGAGCUGGGUUUGUCCCGCCAGUAAGCAUUUCAUUUUCAUCGCUGCUGGAGCUGGGUUUGUCCCGCCAGUAAGCAUGUUCAUUUGCUUCCGCCGCUAGCCGUUGGGUUUGUCCCACUAGUGUGCCUUUCAUUUGCUUUCACCACUAGCCGUUGGGUUUGUCCCACUAGUGUGCCUUUUAAUUGCAUUCGCCGCUAGCCGUUGGGUUUGUCCCACUAGUGUGCCUUUCAUUUGCUUUCACCACUAGCCGUUGGGUUUGUCCCACUAGUGUGCCUUUUAAUUGCAUUCGCCGCUAGCCGUUGGGUUUGUCCCACUAGUGUGCCUUUCAUUUGCAUUCGCCACUAGCCGUUGGGUUUGUCCCACUAGUGUGCCUUUUAAUUGCAUUCGCUGCUAGCCGUUGGGUUUGUCCCACUAGUGUGCCUUUCAUUUGCUUUCACCACUAGCCGUUGGGUUUGUCCCACUAGUGUGCCUUUCAUUUGCAUCCGCCGCUAGCCGUUGGGUUUGUCCCACUAGUGUGCCUUUUAAUUGCAUUCGCCGCUAGCCGUUGGGUUUGUCCCACUAGUAUGCCUUUUAAUUGCAUUCGCCGCUAGCCGUUGGGUUUGUCCCACUAGUGUGCCUUUCAUUUGCUUUCACCACUAGCCGUUGGGUUUGUCCCACUAGUGUGCCUUUCAUUUGCAUCGCCGCUAGCCGUUGGGUUUGUCCCACUAGUGUGCCUUUCAUUUGCAUCCGCCGCUAGCCGUUGGGUUUGUCCCACUAGUGUGCCUUUUAAUUGCAUUCGCCGCUAGCCGUUGGGUUUGUCCCACUAGUGUGCCUUUCAUUUGCAUUCGCCACUAGCCGUUGGGUUUGUCCCACUAGUGUGCCUUUUAAUUGCAUUCGCCGCUAGCCGUUGGGUUUGUCCCACUAGUGUGCCUUUCAUUUGCUUUCACCACUAGCCGUUGGGUUUGUCCCACUAGUGUGCCUUUUAAUUGCAUCCGCCGCUAGCCGUUGGGUUUGUCCCACUAGUGUGCCUUUCAUUUGCAUCCGCCGCUAGCCGUUGGGUUUGUCCCACUAGUGUGCCUUUCAUUUGCUUUCACCACUAGCCGUUGGGUUUGUCCCACUAGUGUGCCUUUUAAUUGCAUUCGCCGCUAGCCGUUGGGUUUGUCCCACUAGUGUGCCUUUCAUUUGCAUUCGCCGCUAGCCGUUGGGUUUGUCCCACUAGUGUGCCUUUUAAUUGCAUUCGCCACUAGCCGUUGGGUUUGUCCCACUAGUGUGCCUUUCAUUUGCAUUCGCCACUAGCCGUUGGGUUUGUCCCACUAGUGUGCCUUUUAAUUGCAUUCGCCGCUAGCCGUUGGGUUUGUCCCACUAGUGUGCCUUUCAUUUGCAUCCGCCGCUAGCCGUUGGGUUUGUCCCACUAGUGUGCCUUUCAUUUGCUUUCACCACUAGCCGUUGGGUUUGUCCCACUAGUGUGCCUUUUAUUCUGUUGCAUCCGCAUCGCUAGCCGUUGGGUUUGUCCCACUAGUGUGCCUUUUAAUUGCAUUCGCCGCUAGCCGUUGGGUUUGUUCCACUAGUGUGCCUUUCAUUUGCUUUCACAGCACUAGCCGUUGGGAUUUGUCCCACUAGUGUGCCUUUCAUUUGCAUCCGCCGCUAGCCGUUGGGUUUGUCCCACUAGUGUGCCUUUUAAUUGCAUUCGCCGCUAGCCGUUGGGUUUGUCCACUAGUGUGCCUUUCAUUUGCAUUCGCACUAGCCGUUGGGUUUGUCCCACUAGUGUGCCUUUUAAUUGCAUUUCGCCGCUAGCCGUUGGGUUUGUCCCACUAGUGUGCCUUUCAUUUGCUUUCACCACUAGCCGUUGGGUUUGUCCCACUAGUGUGCCUUUCAUUUGCAUUCGCCACACUAGUGUGCCUUUUAAUUGCAUUCGCCACUAGCCGUUGGGUUUGUCCCACUAGUGUGCCUUUCAUUUGCAUCCGCCGCUAGCCUUGGGUUUGUCCCACUAGUGUGCCUUUCAUUUGCUUUCACCACUAGCCGUUGGGUUGUCCCACUAGUGUGCCUUUCAGUUGCAUCCGCCGCUAGCCGUUGGGUUUGUCCCACUAGUGUGCACUUUUACUUGCAUUCGCCGCUAGCCGUUGGGUUUGUCCCACUAGUGUGCCUUUCAUUUGCAUUCGCCGCUAGCCGUUGGGUUGUCCCACUAGUGUGCCUUUUAAUUGCAUACGCGCGCUAGCCGUUGGUUUGUCCACUAGUGUGCCUUUCAUUUGCUUUCACCACUAGCCGUUGGGGUUUGUCCCACUAGUGUGCCUUUCAUUUCAUCCGCCGCUAGCCGUGUGGGUUGUCCCACUAGUGUGCCUUUUAAUUGCAUUCGCCGCAGCCGUUGGGUUUGUCCCACUAGUGUGCCUUUUAAUUGCAUUCGCCGCUAGCCGUUGGCUUUGUCCCACUAGUGUGCCUUUCAUUUGUUUUCACACACACUUUUACUUGCAUUCGCCGCUAGCCGUUGGGUUUGUCCCACUAGUGUGCCUUUCAUUUGCAUGCGCCGCUAGCCGUUGGGUUUGUCCCACUAGUGUGCACCAUGAUUUUAAUUUUAUUCGGCCAGUCCCAUGACUUUUAAAUUUUAUUCGGGUCAGUCCCAUGAUUUUAAAUCUUUUGUUCGGGUCAGUCCCAUGUUUAAUUUUAUUCGGGCCAGUCCCAUGACUUUUAAAUUUUAUUCGGCCAGUCCAUGAUUUUAAUUUUGUUCGGGUCAGUCCCAUGAUGUUAAAUCUUAUUCGGGUCAGUCUAAUGAUUUUAAUUUUGUUCGGGUCAGUCCCAAGAUUUAAGCUUUAUUCGGUGUCAGUCCCAUGAUUUUAAGCUUUAUUCGGGUCAGUCCAUGAUUUUUUAAAUUUUGUUCGGGUCAGUCCCAUGAUGUUAAAUCUUAUACGGGUCAGUCCCAUGUUUUAAUCUCUCGUUCGGGUCAGUCCUAUGUUUAAUUUCUCGUUCGAGUAAGUCCCAUGUUUAAUUUCCUGUUCGAGUCAGUCCCAUGUUUAAAUUCUCGAGUCAGUCCCAUGAUAAAUUCUUGCUCGGAUCAGUUCCAUGUUUAAUUUCUCAUUCAGGUCUAUCCACCAAUUUGUUAUUUAAAAAAAAAAAAAAAAUCAUUAAAUCAAGAUCAAAUUUAAAUUCCUGUUGGAGCGUAAUCGCGUCCCUCCGCGCAUCAAUUUAAAUUCCUGUUGGUGAGUCUCAGCGUCCACCGCGUACCCUUCUAUCUCCCCUUCUUGACAAAUUUAAAUUCCUGUUGGAGCGUAAUCGCGUCCUCCGCGCAUCAAUUUAAAUUCCUGUUGGUGAGUCUCAGCGUCCACCGCGCACACCUUCUAUCUCCCCUUCUGACAAUUUAAUUUCCUGUUGGAGCGUAAUCGCGUCCCUUCCGCGCAUCAAUUUAAAUUCCUGUUGUGAGUCUCAGCGUCCACCGCGCACCCUUCUAUCUCCCCUUCUUGACAGAUCAGAAGAAUCAAUUUAAAUUCCUGUUGGUGAGUCUCAGCGUCCACCGCGUACCCUUCUAUCUCCCCUUCUUGACAAAUUUAAAUUCCUGUUGGAGCGUAAUCGCGUCCCUCCGCGCAUCAAUUUAAAUUCCUGUUGGUGAGUCUCAGCGUCCACCGCGCACCCUUCUAUCUCCCCUUCUUGACAGAUCAGAAGAAUCAAUUUAAAUUCCUGUUGUGAGUCUCAGCGUCCACCGCGUACCCUUCUAUCUCCCCUUCUUGACAAAUUUAAUUUUCUGUUGGAGCGUAAUCCGUCCCUCCGCGCAUCAUUUAAAUUCCUGUUGGUGAGUCUCAGCGUCCACCGCGCACCCUUCUAUCUCCCAUUCUUGACAAAUUUAAAUUCUUGUUGGUGAGUCUCAGCGUCCACCGCGCACCCUUCUAUCUCCCUUCUAUCAAUUUAAAUUCCUGUUGGUGAGUCUCAGCGUCCACACGCGCACCCUUCUAUCUCCCAUUCUUGACAAAUUUAAUUUUCUGUUGGACGCGUAAUCGCGUCCCUCCGCAUCAAUUUAAAUUCUUGUUGGUGAGUUUCAGCGUCCACCGCGCACCCUUCUACCUCCCAUUCUUGACAAUUGCAUUUGAUUUCCUGUUGGAGCGUAACCGCGUCCCUCCGCGCAUGUUUUUAUAGUUGUGACAAGUUACUUUUCUUGACUGUUUUGAUUAAUAAUUGUGCUUUCUCAUUCAUUUUGUGUUUCAUGUUUAGAGAUCUAAAAGUUCAAAUUUUUUUGACUUUGCAAAGAUCACAGUUGGUCAAUGCACUGGUUUCAUUGUGGUUCACUUGUAUUUGAACUACGUUUGACCUGAUUCCCGUGGUGGGAUACGUAGGCAACUCUACAAGAGUUCGGUCACGUGUUUUGCAACUUAAUUGCAUCAUUUUGUUCAAUAAUUUCAGCCAAGCGUUGACCUGUUUAUUUAAUUCAGGUGCAGUUAGAAGAAACAGGUAAGCGAUUUGGUGUCUACGUCUUUGUCUUGACUUUCUUCGAAAUUUCAGACAAAGAGGGGCAAGCUGUAGACACCAAAUUUUUAUCAAUUUUAAUAUUUUCCUCGAUUAUUUUCUAUUUGAUGAGUCAUUUAUUUUCAUGUGUAUUUUUCUUAUAUUUGCAGGUUUAUUUUAGCAAAAGAAAAACAAAAAAAAAAUCAAAAAAAAAAUAGAAAAUAAAAAAAAGGGCAUCAUGAUGUCUAGUCAUCAUGAUGUCUCUGGACAUCAUGAUGACUAGACAUCAUGAUCCCAUCUUUUGACCGAGGAGCAACGGAUGGAAAUUGAAGAAAAGGCUCCAAAAUUGCGUGAGGAGUCCCUGGAGCUCCAACGGACAGAAAGAAAAAUGCUCUCCCGAGCUCUUCUCAGAAGCUCUGAACAGACGAAGGAAAAAACUGCAGAGAGGUUCUCAGGAGCUCAGGGGACCGAAAAGAAAAAAACACCCCUCAUUUGCUCCCUCUCUCAGGCCUCGGUGCAGAAGGAAAAUUUGCAGAGAGGCCCCUGAUUCACUCUCGCAUCUCUCCCUCUCUCGGACGAAGGCUACGGACAGAAAACAGAGAGGGAAAGAAAUUUUUGCAGAAGAGAUCCCUAGCUCAAUUUCUCUCGGUGGAGCAAUGGAACAAAAGAAGGGAAGGAAGAAAAUUGCUCCGAGGACCUCGACUGAGGCAGAAGCAGAAAAGAGAAGGAAUUUGCAGCAGAGGUCCCUGGAUCAUCUCCAGAACUCUCUUCCUCUCUCUCGGACUUGUGUAGAAGAAAGGGGCAAGGCCAAUAAAAAUGAUUGGAGCUUGCAAUUUCAUCAAAUUUUAAUCAAGAGACUACAAUCUUCAUUGAGGUAUUUAUUCUUUUAUCUUUUUUCCAACUUUUUCCUUUCUUUAAUUUAUUAAAUUAAAUACAUGAUUUGAUGUUUGUUUGUCCCUUGGCUUCGUUUGUUGUUGUUACUGAUGUUGUUGAAUUUUUGGGGAAUCCAUGAAUAAACAUUAAAAAAAAUGAUUUCUGUGAAUGCAUGAUAAUUGUUUGAAAAAUGUGAAAAAUGAAAAAAAUGAAUUUCAAGGGCUGUUUUGCUUUAUUUUAAUUUUUUUUAUGUUGUUUUCUUGUCAAAUAAAAUCAUACUUAUAUGUAGGAAUUGUAAGGAGUGUUGUAGUAUAAUUUUUAUGAUUUUUGGUGAAAAUUUGAGUAUUUUAAAAAUAAUAAAAAUCGUGGCUGUUUCUGGCAUUUUGACUAUCUUCGAAUUGUUUUCUGUGCAAACUAAAUCCGGAUUUGGAAUCUACUCGAAAAAUCGAGUGAAAAUGUGUGUUUUAAUAAUUUUUGGUGACCGGAAAAAUUGCCGGCGAUCGGUAACCGGAGGCACCGUCAGCGGUAACCACGGGCACCGACAGAAUGUUGUAGGAAAAGUUGCAGAAGUUGAUUUCCGAAGCUUUGCAUGAUAAUCUGGAAAAUUUGCGGUUCAGCCCCCCGAACUUUUAAAUAAUUACAUUGUGGCCCAAAAGCUUUUGUAAUUGGACCAGUCUUGUCCCUAUUGAGUUUUUUAUUUUCUUUUUCAUAUUUUAACUGCAUUUCAAGUAUGUUGUUUCUGUGAUUUGAGGGUGUAAUUAUAUUUUAAUAAUUUUGAUAGAUUUAUUAUUUUGAUUGGGUUUGAUAAAAUAAUUGGAGUUUUUGGGUUGAGAUUUGUUUGGUUGGGUUUUGGUAUAAAAUUUGGGUCAUUUUAUUGGGUUUUAGAAAUGGGUUUUGGUUUAUUUCUUGUGGGUUUGGGUUGGGCUAAGAAGUCAAAACCCAUGUAUUUAUUUGAGUUGAAUUGAGUGAUAAAAAAGACGGGCUGCCCAUUUCUUUCUUGGAUUUUCAGUUGGGCUGAGAGGGUUUUCGGCCCAAACAAAUAAAUAAAAUGGCCCAGUGGCCCAUUUGGCUGAGAAAUCUGGUUACGAAAUUGCAAAUCAGUCCCUGUACCCUUGAGCAUUUUCUCUAUGGCCCUAAAUAUUUUGAUUUCUUUCAAUCAGAUCCUUCAUAUAAUUGUAAAUAGGUCCCUGAACUUUAUUUUUAUUUAAUUGUGAUCCCAUAUCUUUGUGAUAAUUAUAAUUUGCCCCCAAAACUUUGUUUAUUUUUGCAAUUAGAUCCUUAACAGAUUGGAUUGCUUAAAUAGAAGUUGCUUUUCUUCUAUAAUCAUUGAUUACACUUCAUUUAAGUGUUUCAAUUGAUUGAUUUCAUUUUUAUUUCCAUUUGCUAUGAUUUAUUUGUUAUUUAAAUUGGUGCCUUGAUGAUUUUGUUAAUUUUGGAGGUAAAUAGGGCAAAUCCAAUUUCCAUUAAUUACUACUUCAAGGGAGGUAUCUUCUUGUAUCAUUUUAAAUCCUCUUAUGUGCUCCAAUGUGUUUUAUGUGCAAUCACAUGUUUCGAGUGUUAUUCUUUUAUUUAUUAUUAUUCUUUUCUUUUUAUUAUUGUGAUUCAUUUUUAAUUUUAUUUAUUUUAUUUUAUUUUAUUCUUGAUUAUUUGAGAAGGCAAUUAAAUGUCACAAUUGUAAUAGUUAGGUAUUUAUUUUAAUUAUUUAUUUUAUUUCCCUUUUAGAUUGUAGUAGGCUUCCCCCCUAAUGUAAUAGUUAGGGCUUGUUUGCUUUAUUUACUUGGUGUGAUUUGCGUGCUUCUUGCUACGUGUUACUGUUUUUCUUAGGAUAUUUGCAUCUAGAUAUUAUGCUUACAUGUUAUGUGUUACGUGCUCUUAUGUGUUUAUUUAUUUUAAUUUAUACUUUAUUUGUUUACUAUGUAUUGUUAAUGCAUAACGUCACCACACUAGUCCAACGCUAGUUGUGGCUUCUCCUUCUAUUUACUUGCUAGUCCAACGCUAGUAAGGAUUUCUAGAAAUGGGCUAGUCCAACGCUAGACCCGUAUAUGGUUCAUGCAUUAGAUUCAUUGUUGUAUGAUAUUUAUUACAUUUUCAUGCAUAUUUUAUUUUUUAGGAUCUUUUCUCAUUUGCAUGAUAUUUUCAAUUAUAUUAUCCUCUACCCCUUACCCUCUACAUAUGUUAAUCAUAUCAUUUAGAAUUGCAUUUCAUUUAAGAAAUUGUGGAAUAAGUUAGUUCAUUCGCUUGUUCAUAUUAGAAUAAUUAUUCUUUGAACAGGAAAUGGGUUAUUAUGACUUUUUUAGUUUAAAUAUCCCAUUAAUCCCUGUAUGAUAAAAUUAUGUCACGAGUUUUUGUCUCCCGUACCCAUUAUGAUGCAUCCCUAUUCUUUGAUCACUUAUAUCUAUGUAUAGAAUUUAAUUUGCUUCUUCUGUUUAUUUGAUUUCAUCAUUUGCAUAUUCGUGACUCCUUCAAGAUAUUGUUUUGGCCUUCGCAAUUAAUGCGAUUGAUACCAAGUAAACCCUUGAAUGAACAUUUUGUCCCUCUCGAUAUUUCUAUUUGCAUCCAUGUAGAAAACAUCCAAAUGUGAUAAAUUUAAAGGUUAGAUUAAGAAAAUUUUGACUAAACCACGCAACUAGCUUAGACUAGGUUGAAAGGGUGCCUUAGGUUUGAGUUGAUUGAACCUUUGCCUUCCCUUUCUUCAACCGUGACUCCCGAACUCAUUUUCUCUUGUUUUCAAAGACCUGGAGUUGUCUAAAAGGGUUUUAUAUAUUUUAUUUUUGUUAAAAAUAUUUUGUGACUUGGUACACCAAAACUCAAUAUCAAUGGCGACUCCUAAUUUUCUUAAAAAAUCCUUUUCAGACUAAAUUUUGACCCAAAUCGUCGCAUUUUUUUAAGUCCCAUUCUUGGUCCUUUUUCAUUUAUUUUUUUAAUAAAUCACAUCUUUUUAUAAACUCAUUUUAUUUUCCCAUCGGAAAAAUGGGGCGCGACAGCUUGGCGACUCCACUGGACCGCUAGAGAGUCCAAGCACUUGGUUUAGUUGUUCUUUUCUCUUUUUAACCCUUUUAUUUAUCAUAUUUGGAUGUUUUAGGUUGCAUUUUUCUUUUGUUUUGCAUUUCACACUCGUAAUCGUUCCUCGUUUUACGUGUAUGGGAUGAAUGGCUUAUUUAUUAUUUAUUCGUAUCACCUUUGCAUUUGGGUGGGGGAAAAUAUCACCGUAGAGCCUCCAUGCUUGUUUUAAUAAUCCCUCCCUUCAAAAGAAGCACUUCAUACGUGCAUGCACUACUUUUCACCAUAUUUUUAUUUUCUCGUGGGCGCCAUCCCACAUCUCCUUGUAGGAUUAGGAUCGAUUUCCUUAGGUAGGCGGAUGGUGUGCUCUGCGCCCAUAGCGAUGCUUAAGGGAUCACUCAAGCCACCGACCGAAGGUUUUAGGAUUGAUGACCUACUAAUUUUUUGGUCUGAAGGCUCGGGGACCUUAAAACCUAUCGAGUCUAGAUGCAUUAGUGAGCCCAUACCCCAUGCAUCCAUAUUAGAAAUUACCUAAGAUAAGAGUCAACAUAUCCAGUUAGGACACUAAGCACGAGGGGAGGGAUUUUACCCCUCUUUCUUUGCUUUAUUUACUUUUUAUCCUUGUAUCAUUUAUUGUCACAAUGUGUUAUAUGUUACUUGUUGAACUAACCUCUCCUUGUUUUCCCUUUUUCUGCAUACACAAACUUUAGAAAUAAGAGUUCUAACAUGGUACUCGUUUAAGAUAAGACCGCCUCUUAUAUCAAGCAUGUUUAAAUUUUAGUCAAUUGCAUAUGCAUAUGUAUUGCACAUCAUUUUAGGCUUACCCCGGCAUUUAAAGGGGGCACUUUUAGGUCAUAUUUCAAUUAUUUAAUCGCUUUAAUAAAUUGGCAUCAUGCAUCAACUAUAGAGGGAAUGCCGUAUAGGGAAUCCCGUGUUAGGAAUAAACCACCUUAUGUCUCGGAUAUAUAAUCCAAUGAGACUUGCACGUUUAUUUUUUUUGUACUGUCCAAAGGGGUAGUGCACGAGGUAAGGUAAGAUCCGAUCUUUUUCAAAGACGGCAGAGCAAUUUUUUGCACAUUAGAAUAUGAGCAUCUAACAAUCAUCUUUUGGCCAUUUUCAACAUAGUUGGUAAAAAUCCCUUGCUUAAAGGAUAUUGACUUGAAGAAAUUCACAAAUGAUUCCUCAUUGUUGAGACGAUAAAUAUAUUGAGGCCAAAUCUUGAUUUUAGGAGGCUCAUAGACUAAUGCAUCGCAAUGAAUUUUGAAAAUUACCAAUGAGUGGACAAUUCAAUCCAUUUUUGAAUAAAACAUCAAUUUCAAUCAAUUCAUUUGAUCAAUUUAUCCUUUUUGGGUGAUCUGGUCGAUUUUUGAAUAAAUCAUUAACUUCAUUUCAUUCAUUUGGCCAAUUCACCCAUUUUUAGGGCAAUCGAACUGAUUUUGAAUAAAUCAAGUUUCACUCAAUCCAUUUGACCAAUCUACCCUUUUUUAGGGUGAUCCGAUCAAUUUUGAAUAAAUCAAAUUUCAUUCAAUUCAUUUGACCAAUCUACCUAUUUUUAGUGCAAUUCGGUCGAUUUUAAAUAAAUCAUCAAUUCCAUCCUAUCCAUUUGACCCGUUUUUUUUUCCUUUAGGGUCUAAGCCUAAGAUUCAUUGAAUAAAUUAAUCGAGACAAUGCAAUCUCUUUCACACAUCAUUUUAUGUGUUGAUCGAAACAAGCAAUCCAUUCGGACUUUGUCCUCAUUUUUCAAACAAAUGUCUCUUCUCACUCCAAUUGGCCAAGUUUUUCAAAUCAUUUUUUUCACUCAAUCAAUUGAUCGGAUUCAUCAGGUAUUGUAUGGUGCCUACACUAGAGGAUUGCAUUUUCAUGUUAGGCCUACCCUUGGCAUAAAAGGGCUCCCCCAUAGGACAUGCAUACCGAUUUUGUAGUCUUACCUACUGACUCGGGGUAUUUUUCUUUUGUUUCCCCCCUCCCCUGCAUUCAUAAAAAUGCUUUAAUAAGGUGAAAAUAUUUUUCUAUGUCUGCUAAAAUUUGAGAACUACAAGUAUUAUUUGAUUCUUGGGCAGAUCCUACAAUGAAAACAUGAAAGAUCCAUCUGAAAGCUUUGGGCUAAAGCCUCUGAGAGACUUUAUAAUUAUUUUUCAAAGGGAACUUUCGUUUAUUUGAUUUGAUUAUACAUUUUGUUCCAAAAGAAAGGGAGACAAAAGCGUAUAUGUGGGGUUUUGUAGAAGUUUUCUCUUCUCAUUUGUAUUAUAAUUCAACAAGAAAUUUUUGUUUUAAACUUUUUCAGCAAUAAAGUUUUAGACAAUUAUUGUUUUGUAUAUAAUCAUGUACAUUUCAUUCUUUCUGUUGCUCAUUGGAGAUUUCAUGAUGAAUUUUAAGAAAUAAGACCAAGUUGAUUUUUCCUCAACCUCUUGCCUGGAAAU